rnacentral:piRNA from 1 species
UGCUGUCUCGUUAGAUACAUC